rnacentral:rRNA from 1 species
GAUGAACGCUAGCGGCAGGCCUAACACAUGCAAGUCGAGGGGCAGCACAGAAACAGCAAUGUUUUGGUGGCGACCGGCGGACGGGUGCGUAACGCGUAUGCAACCUACCUUUAACAGGGGGAUAACGGAGAGAAAUUUCCACUAAUACCCCAUAACAUCGAUCAAGGCAUCUUGAUUGGUUGAAAACUCCGGUGGUUAAAGAUGGGCAUGCGUUGUAUUAGGUAGUUGGUGAGGUAAUGGCUCACCAAGCCUACGAUACAUAGGGGGACUGAGAGGUUAGCCCCCCACACUGGUACUGAGACACGAACCAGACUCCUACGAGAGGCAGCAGUGAGGAAUAUUGGUCAAUGGGGGCAACCUUGAACCAGCCAUGCCGCGUGCAGGAAGACGGCUCUAUGAGUUGUAAACUGCUUUUAAACAGGGAUAAAGCACAGUAUGUAUACUGUGUUGAAGGUACUGUAAGAAUAAGGAUCGGCUAACUCCGUGCCAGCAGCCGCCGUAA